UACGUAGGGUGCAAGCGUUGUCCGGAAUUAUUGGGCGUAAAGAGCGUGUAGGCGGCUUUACAGGUCCGUUGUGAAAACUCGAGGCUCAACCUCGAGACGCCGGUGGAAACCGUAAGGCUAGAGUCCGGAAGAGGAGAGUGGAAUUCCUGGUGUAGCGGUGAAAUGCGCAGAUAUCAGGAAGAACACCCGUGGCGAAGGCGGCUCUCUGGGACGGUACUGACGCUGGGACGCGAAAGCGUGGGGAGCGAACAGG
rnacentral:rRNA from 1 species